UGGGCUGAUAAAUGGCCAGUCUAUCUGCAAACCUGCCUAACUGAGAGGUGGGCCCAUCUGAGCACUUUCCUCCCUCCUUCUCAAGCCUUCUAAGGCUUCCCACUGCCUACAGGAUAAAGUCCCACUUCUUCAUGUGGCAUUCAAUGUCCUUCGCAGCCUGUCUCCAAGUGCUCCCUUGUCCCUUGUCGUGAGCUUGUCCAGCUGGUCUCGCUGCUCCUGAACUUAACCUCCUGGCUCCAUGAUUCUGUCCCUGCCAUCUCUCCUCCCCAUCACUCCAACCUGGGGCACACUCUCCCCAUUCCAAGCCUUGUCCUCUUCAUCCCCCUGCAGGGGCCUUUUGGGGCAAACCUCUGUCACUCCCCUUCCUGGUGCAUAAACUACUCACCCCUCCCUGGAGCUCCUCAAGCCCCUGCCUCAGCCCAAGCCCACUUGGACCUGGACCUGUCACUGGAUUCGUUCACACGGGCCAAGCCUUCCCACUGGCCCAUGUCUGAGGCCAUCAUCUCUGUGGCCAGUGCACAGGGGAGGACACUGCACCAGUUUAGGAACUGCACUAACCACAAGGAGAGUAAGAAGCAGGAGUGAAAUGGCCAAAGGCUGGAUUCAGGAAGUGGAGAAGGCAAACUCCACGUGGGCAGGGAUCCUGUUUUAUCAUCUCUGCUUCCUCACUGUGCACAGAACAGUGCCGGGCACAACUCAAUGCGGAGUUGCUGCCUAAGCCUGUGACCCUGAGAACGCAGGUGCUGCCAGAAUGGAACCCUUAGAGCGAGCUGGACUCUGGCAGCACACAUGGCCUGUGAGGACCCCUUCUCUGUCUCCCACAGACCCUCAAUGGCCUCCCAUUUCCAUUUUUGUACCCCACAGUCUGGGAGCUCCACCCCAGUUCUGUCCUUGGCUGAGUCAUCUUGGUGUCCCCAGGCCUGGCUCAGGGCCUGGCAUGGAGGAGGAGCUGGGUAAAUGUUUGUGGUGUUAAAUUGGACCAGUCUCCAGCUCCUCACUGCCUCCACAUCUGAGGAGCCCCAGGGAAGGGGCCGACAAAGAGAGAUGAAAGAAGGUGAGAAGCAGGUUUCAAAGUUGGCCCUUUCAGUGCAGAUAAAAGCAGGAGGGAAGGGAGCCAAAGCGGGGAGGAGGGAGAGGACUGAGAGGGGGCAUGGAGAGUGGAAUUGGAGAGGAGGGGAGCCGGCAGAUGGGAGGACUGACCUGGGGCCAAGGACUCGCCUCCCGCUCCGUGUUCUUACCUCCCUGG
rnacentral:lncRNA from 1 species